rnacentral:rRNA from 1 species
UAGCUAGUUGGUAAGGUAACGGCUUACCAAGGCGACGAUCAGUAGCCGGACUGAGAGGUUGAUCGGCCACAUUGGGACUGAGACACGGCCCAGACUUCUACGGGAGGCAGCAGUGGGGAAUAUUGCACAAUGGAGGAAACUCUGAUGCAGCGAUGCCGCGUGAGGGAAGAAGGUUUUAGGAUUGUAAACCUCUGUCUUCAGGGACGAAAAAAGACGGUACCUGAGGAGGAAGCUCCGGCUAACUACGUGCCAGCAGCCGCGGUAAUACGUAGGGAGCGAGCGUUGUCCGGAAUUACUGGGUGUAAAGGGAGCGUAGGCGGGAUCGCAAGUCAGAUGUGAAAACUAUGGGCUUAACCCAUAAACUGCAUUUGAAACUGUGGUUCUUGAGUGAAGUAGAGGUAAGCGGAAUUCCUAGUGUAGCGGUGAAAUGCGUAGAUAUUAGGAGGAACAUCAGUGGCGAAGGCGGCUUACUGGGCUUUAACUGACGCUGAGGCUCGAAAGCGUGGGGAGCAAACAGGAUUAGAUACCCUGGUAGUCCACGCCGUAAACGAUGAUUACUAGGUGUGGGGGGACUGACCCCUUCCGUGCCGCAGCAAACGCAAUAAGUAAUCCACCUGGGGAGUACGACCGCAAGGUUGAAACUCAAAGGAAUUGACGGGGGCCCGCACAAGCAGUGGAGUAUGUGGAUUAACUCGAAGCAACGCGAAGAACCUUACCAGGUCUUGACAUCGUAUGCAUAGCUCAGAGAUGAGUGAAAUCUCUUCGGAGACAUAGAGACAGGUGGUGCAUGGUUGUCGUCAGCUCGUGUCGUGAGAUGUUGGGUUAAGUCCCGCAACGAGCGCAACCCUUACUGUUAGUUGCUACGCAAGAGCACUCUAGCAGGACUGCCGUUGACAAAACGGAGGAAGGUGGGGAUGACGUCAAAUCAUCAUGCCCCUUAUGACCUGGGCCUCACACGUACUACAAUGGCUGUCAACAGAGGGAAGCAAAGCCGCGAGGUGGAGCGAACCCCUAAAAGCAGUCUUAGUUCGGAUUGUAGGCUGCAACCCGCCUACAUGAAGUCGGAAUUGCUAGUAAUCGCAGAUCAGCAUGCUGCGGUGAAUACGUUCCCGGGCCUUGUACACACCGCCCGUCACGCCAUGGGAGUCGGUAACACCCGAAGCCUGUAGUCUAACCGCAAGGAGGACGCAGUCGAAGGUGGGAUUGAUGACUGGGGUGAAGUCGUAACAAGGUAACCGUACUAGUACGAGAGGAUC